GUCAUUUGCUUUCCUUCUUAUUGCUUAUUCGCCUCACUCAUUAUCUCCCAAAAUCUCAUUUCCACGAUCAUCGUUUUACUCGUUUCCACGAUCGGUAUCAGUGCUUCAGUUUCGUGGAAAGUUGGGGCCCCUGACUUUUGCCUACAUAAAGGAUCGAUAAGGAAUGUGAGACACAAAGGCACUAACAUCGAAAAGAAAGCAAACAUGGGGAGUUUUUGCUUCCGAGCUAGAAAGGAAGGAGAUGAUAACAAAUACAAGCCCAAUGAUAUUAUGACAGCAGGUGCUGCUGCUGCUGCUCCAACCAAAACUUGUGAUGAAACUCAUGGUACCACUACAGAUCAUAAUCAUGGAACUCAUGAUACCACAGCUCAUCAUCAUGGUAGUCAUGAUACCACAGGCCAUCAUCUUCAUCAUCAUACCGUUGGUCACGAUGGAGGCGCUCAUUUUAGUGGUGAUGGCGGUUUCUGAGGUUCCAUUCUGUUUUGUGUUUUAAGUUUGAUGUCAAUUUAUAUUUUGUUUGGUUUGUAUUUUUUUUCUUUCAGUUUAAUGUUUUUAAUAGCGUUUGCCUUUUUUCUAUUAUUUAAAUAUUCUUGUAAUAAUUGAAA